rnacentral:rRNA from 1 species
UACGAGAGGCCCAAACGUUUAUUCGGAAUUACUGGGCUUAAAGAGUUCGUAGGCGGCGCAGAAAGUAGGGUGUGAAAGCCCUCGGCUUAACCGAGGAAUUGCGCUCUAAACUACUGUGCUUGAGGAAUCUAGAGGUGAGCGGAACUGAUGGUGGAGCGGUGAAAUGCGUUGAUAUCAGUCAGGAACGCCGGAGGCGAAGGGCGGCUCACUGGGGAUUUUCUAGACGCUGAGGACGAAAGCCAGGGGAGCGAACGGG